ACGAAGGGGGCUAGCGUUGUUCGGAAUUACUGGGCGUAAAGCGCGCGUAGGCGGUGAUCUUUGUCAGAGGUGAAAUCCCGAGGCUCAACUUCGGAAUUGCCUUUGAAACGGGAUUGCUUGAGUCCGAGAGAGGAUGGCGGAAUUCCUGGUGUAGAGGUGAAAUUCGUAGAUAUUCGGAAGAACACCAGUGGCGAAGGCGACUUACUGGACACAUAUUGACGCUGAGGUGCGAAAGCGUGGGGAGCAAACAGGA
rnacentral:rRNA from 1 species